rnacentral:ncRNA from 1 species
AGGUUAAGGUGCCGGAAUGCACGCUCAUCAGACACCACAAAAGGUGUUAGUUCAUCUAGACAGCCCGACGGUGGCCAUGGAAGUCGGAAUCCGCUAAGGAGUGUGUAACAACUCACGGGCCGAAUGAACUAGCCCUGAAAAUGGAUGGCGCUCAAGCGUGCUACCCAUACCUCGCCGUCGGGGUAGAAACGAUGCCCCGACGAGUAGGCAGGCGUGGAGGUCCGUGACGAAGCCUUGGGAGUGAUCCCGGGUCGAACGGCCUCUAGUGCAGAUCUUGGUGGUAGUAGCAAAUACUCAAAUGAGAACUUUGAGGACUGAAGUGGGGAAAGGUUCCAUGUGAACAGCAGUUGGACAUGGGUUAGUCGAUCCUAAGGUAUAGGGAAGUUCCGUUUGAAAGGCGCCCUCGUGCGCCGUGUACCGAAAGGGAAGCCGGUUAAUAUUCCGGCACCUGGAUGUGGAUUCUCCACGGCAACGUAACUGAACGCGGAGACAUCGGCGGGGGUCCUGGGAAGAGUUCUCUUUUCUUCUUGACAGCCUAUCACCCUGAAAUCGGUUUGUCCGGAGCUAGGGUUCCACGGCUGGCAGAGCCCUGCACCUUUGCAGGGUCCGGUGCGCCCCCGACGAUCCUUGAAAAUCCGCGGGAAGGAAUAGUUUUCACGCCAGGUCGUACUCAUAACCGCAGCAGUCUCCAAGGUGAACAGCCUCUAGUUGAUAGAACAAUGUAGAUAAGGGAAGUCGGCAAAUGGAUCCGUAACUUCGGGAUAAGGAUUGGCUCUAAGGGUCGGGCUCGCUGGGCCUUGGGGGAAACCUCUCGGAGCAGGGGGCACUAGCCGGGCAACCGGCCGGCGCCCCCCAGCACCGGGAUGGGGACGCCCUUGGCAGGCUUCGGCCGUCCGGCGGGCGCUUAACGACCAACUUAGAACUGGUACGGACAAGGGGAAUCUGACUGUCUAAUUAAAACAUAGCAUUGCGAUGGCCAGAAAGUGGUGUUGACGCAAUGUGAUUUCUGCCCAGUGCUCUGAAUGUC